rnacentral:rRNA from 1 species
UACGUAGGUGACCAGCGUUGUCCGGAUUUACUGGGCGUAAAGAGCGCGCAGGCGGUCGUUCAAGUCGAGUGUGAAAGCCCCCGGCUCAACUGGGGAGGGCACUCGAUACUGAUCGACUUGAAGGCAGGAGAGGGAAGCGGAAUUCCCGGUGUAGCGGUGAAAUGCGUAGAGAUCGGAAGGAACGCAAUGGCGAAGGCAGCCACCUGGGCAUC